AUUGAACGCUGGCGGCAGGCCUAACACAUGCAAGUCGAGCGGCAGCGGGACCUUCGGGUCGCCGGCGAGCGGCGGACGGGUGAGUAAUGCCUAGGAAUCUGCCCGUUAGUGGGGGAUAACGCGGGGAAACUCGCGCUAAUACCGCAUACGUCCUACGGGAGAAAGUGGGGGACCCUCAGGCCUCACGCUAACAGAUGAGCCUAGGUCGGAUUAGCUAGUUGGUGGGGUAAAGGCCCACCAAGGCGACGAUCCGUAACUGGUCUGAGAGGAUGAUCAGUCACACUGGAACUGAGACACGGUCCAGACUCCUACGGGAGGCAGCAGUGGGGAAUAUUGGACAAUGGGCGAAAGCCUGAUCCAGCCAUGCCGCGUGUGUGAAGAAGGUCUUCGGAUUGUAAAGCACUUUAAGUUGGGAGGAAGGGCGCUCGGUGAAUACCCAGGCGUCUUGACGUUACCGACAGAAUAAGCACCGGCUAACUUCGUGCCAGCAGCCGCCGUAACAC
rnacentral:rRNA from 1 species